CUUACCAUGCAGUCGAACGGUGAUGCAGAGCUUGCUCUGCGGAUCAGUGGCGAACGGGUGAGUAACACGUGAGUAACCUGCCCUUGACUCUGGGAUAAGCGUUGGAAACGACGUCUAAUACCGGAUACGACCCGUGGAGGCAUCUCCUACGGGUGGAAAGAAUUUUGGUUGAGGAUGGACUCGCGGCCUAUCAGCUUGUUGGUGAGGUAAUGGCUCACCAAGGCGACGACGGGUAGCCGGCCUGAGAGGGUGACCGGCCACACUGGGACUGAGACACGGCCCAGACUCCUACGGGAGGCAGCAGUGGGGAAUAUUGCACAAUGGGCGAAAGCCUGAUGCAGCAACGCCGCGUGAGGGACGACGGCCUUCGGGUUGUAAACCUCUUUUGGCAGGGAAGAAGCGAAAGUGACGGUACCUGCAGAAAAAGCACCGGCUAACUACGUGCCAGCAGCCGCGGUAAUACGUAGGGUGCAAGCGUUGUCCGGAAUUAUUGGGCGUAAAGAGCUCGUAGGCGGUUUGUCGCGUCUGCUGUGAAAACGCGAGGCUCAACCUCGCGCCUGCAGUGGGUACGGGCAGACUAGAGUGUGGUAGGGGAGAUUGGAAUUCCUGGUGUAGCGGUGGAAUGCGCAGAUAUCAGGAGGAACACCGAUGGCGAAAGGCAGAUCUCUGGGCCAUUACUGACGCUGAGGAGCGAAAGCGUGGGGAGCGAACAGGAUUAGAUACCCUGGUAGUCCACGCCGUAAACGUGGGAACUAGAUGUGGGGUCCAUUCCACGGAUUCCGUGUCGCAGCUAACGCA
rnacentral:rRNA from 1 species